CUGCGGGCCGGCCCUCGGGCUCCGGCCGCCGGAUCCUUCUGGGACCCGAACCCGCAAAUCCUGGCUCCCUCUCCCCAGCCCGCAGACUCCCCAGAGCCCGCCGCUCGCUACCAUCACUGCCUCGGUCCAGAUCGGGCGGCGAAGCGGGUGCCCGUCGGCGGCCGAGCGGCGAUCCCAUCCCUGGUCGCCCCCUUCCUCCCGGGAAAUGACCCUGGGCUCCCACGCACCGGCUCGGGUCUCUCCCGGCCUUGCCCUCCGACCUCCGCCUAGUUAGCCCCUCUGCCCCUCAGCCCCCGCCCUCCCCGGGCCUCGCACGGCCCCGUGCCCGCGGACAAAGCUCCGGACAUCGGACCGCACAGUCGCCACCCCCUGACCCCCGGCCGGCCCGCGCGCUCCCGCGCCUGCCCCCUCCCGGGCCUGCGACGCGUACCUCGGCAUCCCGGCCGGGUCCUAGGUCUCCAUGGCCAGGAGUUCAUCUGGAAGAAGCAAUACUUCUGAGAGUUACAGAAACAUUUUAAGAUGGAUUGGUAUCUGCUAUCCUGGCCAGGAGGCUCACAAGGC
rnacentral:lncRNA from 1 species